UAAAACAAACUUGUUAAAAUAUAAUAUUCAAAAUUAUUAAAAACUGGUGUGAUAAGUGUGAUAUAAAAAUCGUUACAAAUAUAUAUUGCUACAAAUUAAUGGUAAAUAAUUAAAAAGCUUGGAAAGUGUGAAAUCAUCUCUACUAAUACAAAAACUUUUUCAUGCAUCGUUCAUCGUUAAACUUUACAAUUCACUACUGUGCUAAUCGUAGGCCUAUAAUGUGUUAUAUGAUAACAUAAAAUUCACGUCCCCCGUCUAGGCUAGCUGGUUAAUAAGGGUUGUUUCGGUAGACGGUUUGCUUGUACGGGGGGCCGGUUGGUGGUGGGCCUUCAAGGAAUUCUCCACGUUUGCAUAGGGCAUUUCGAUCAUGGAUGGCGGUCCACGUGAUGGUUCCAUGUGGAAGUCGUCUUGAUAGUAAGAACGAUGAUGGUUCUGUG